rnacentral:rRNA from 1 species
GGAUUAGGCAUGCAAGUCGAACGGGAAGCCGUUGAUCAAUCCCUUCGGGAGAGUGAUUCGGUGGAGAGUGGCGAAAGGGUGAGUAACACGUAGGUAACCUGCCUCUAAGUUGGGGAUAACCCCGCGAAAGUGGAGCUAAUACCGAAUGUGGUCGUCCCGGGCAUCCGGGAUUGAUCAAAGAUGGGGAUCCUUCGGGACCUGUCGCUUGGAGAGGGGCCUGCGUCCCAUCAGCUUGUUGGUGUGGUAACGGCGCACCAAGGCUUACGGGUAGGUGGUCUGAGAGGAUGGUCACCCACACUGGGACUGAGACACUGCCCAGACUCCUACGGGAGGCUGCAGUCGAGGAUCAUUCGCAAUGCCCGAAAGG